ensembl:lncRNA LINC00293 long intergenic non-protein coding RNA 293
GACAUCUCACUGGACCUGCACACACAUAGGUGAUGUAACUUUCUUGCCUUCUCUCUGGCUGCAGGUGGUAUUGCUCCAUAUGCCUGAGACCCUAACAAAAGCCUAAUUACAACUCAUAUGCCUGGAGCCAGGACAUGUGCAGGAUGCCAUGAUGGUCCAAGUUAUAUUGGGAUUCAGCCAAUAGAAGAUAUUUUGCCUGUCAUCCCUAAGCUUAGGACAAUAGACUCUGCCAAGAGAGGGGAUUAUUACAUAUUGCAGAGCCCAGCACCUAGGUGGAGUGACUCUCAUCUUUUUCUUCUACCCCGUAUAUAGCCAGCUUGGUGACCUACUAUUUGAGUCUAUACCCAGGCCCAGACCACAGAUGAAAUUGUGCAAUAUGUGGAACAAACACCUAAACAAUAUAUAACACCUUCCUUGGCUCUGUCUACAAAGGGCACUUUUAUAUAUCACUGGGACCAUCAACCAGGUGAUGUUAAUUAUCUUCCUGAAACCUGUCUACAAAGAGAGUUGUGUCGUAUACCUAGGCCCGUCAUGUAAGUGAUGUCAGUCCCUUCUACUGCCUUGGCCCUGCACUUACAGUGCAUUGUGACACAUAACAAGGUACUGCACACAGACGAUGUGAUUCUCCUUUUUGGGUUCUGCCAAAAGGAAGCAUUGUAAUAAAUCGCUUGGCUCAGUA